GUACCAUUUGAUAUUGUUAUUUUAAUAUGGUUCUUAUAUGAUAGAAUGAAGUUAUGCCCAUAAGUGCUUGACGGUUCAUAAUCAAGCAGAUCUCCUGAAAAGAGGAGAUUUUUUCAAACUGGCUGAUGAAAAGUAGCAUCAAACCAUCAGAAGAGAUGAGGGGGAACUGCAGUCUGAGUUGACGCUAAUAAUGUGGAUUUUACCACGUUGCUUGUGUAGCACACCUGGUGAAUGGGGAUGAGCAUGAGUGAAGAUCUCCUCUCCUCCCUCUGUGCCUCGGCGAGGUAAAAGGCCAAAUAAAUAAGACACGUUGCUGGGGGUCACCGAGCCGUGACCUUUCGGUCCAUUCGUUUUCGGGAGUACAGGAGUGCAGCGUCAGCCGGCUGCUCCGACGAACUCCGGAGGGCGAAUUUUAAUCAGCGCCGCGCCGAUGGCCGAGGCAGUGCAUCAUGCUUAACGAGGCUAAGAGGGGGCUUUCAUUUACCCAUGCGCAGGUAACAAAUGGACCACGAUGCACAGGAGACAACCCCGGUUUCCUGUCCUCCUGUGAUGUCCUUCAGUGUCUCUCUCCCCUCUUUCUCGGUCCUGGUCCAGACCUCAGGCUGUUUUGAAGAGGGUCUCAUUCAUUAUGCGUGUACUGCCUUGUUACUAACAUUAUGCCAUAUUUUGACACAUCAGGCUCUGUAAAUUGGUUAUACAGCUGUUUUACAUUCAAGUUUAUCAGGUGCACAUUUAAAAUCCAAUCCAAUAAGCCAUAAAAAGUCCCGUCUCUCAUGAAAAAAAAUGUAUUCACACUUUGUCAGAGAGGGGUGGAUUCACCUCUUAGGUAAUAUUGUGUUGACACAAUAGCUAAUGGUGUUGAUGGUCGUACUGGAUCAGUUCGCAUUGCCCUGAGAAGAUUUUGCUAACAUCCAAAAAUGUUAUUCCACUACAUAAUUUUACAAUAAAUCAAACGUACAUAGGGCUUUUACAGGUUUUAUGACGCGUGACAGCUUUAUCUUUGGGUUCUUUAUGUGUUGUCUUUCCAUUUUUCAGAUGGAACUAAUGAUCAGUAAAAACAGCAUCAAUCUGUGUGUGUUAUUGCUUUGGUUCUUGGUCUGUCACCUCGGAGCAGGCUGAAAUAUCUCUGCAAAUAUUGGAUGGAAUGGUAAAUGUUGUGAAGACAUUCACUGGUCACCGGAUGACAGGGCUUAUUGACUUUGGGGAUCACCUCACUUUUCACCUAGCGCCACCAGCAGGUAAAUGAAAAUGCUAUUACUUCAAUACUUCAUGACCAAAUGUUUCAUCAUCAGCCGGCUUACAGACAGUGAGCAUGAAAGACCUCUGCAGGUUAACAUCGUCGCGUAAGUAUUUUAGCACGCUUUCAGCAUAGCUGGCGUUUAGCUCAAAGCUUCCUGUGUCCAUAGACUCUUAAGUCUUGGUUGUUCUUACUGUGCAGCGUUUUCCUAUUUCUGCACCUUACUAUUCACAUGACUUACUCUCCUACUCUACUUCCCUAUACUUGUACCUCCCCUGCUCUCUGUUAGUGCAUGCUUUGAUAGACUAAGGCCCCCAUUUAUUUUGCAUCCACCUCUCCUUCCUUAUAUAUAUAUAUCUUUGGACAGGAUUAAUUCUCCAAAGGGAGACGGGUAGUAAAAUGUUUCCCCUGUGACUCUGUAAGUAAAGCAACAUUUCAGAUGGAAACGCAGCCAUUGCUUGAGCCCCGGAAGUGUUUUUUUUUAUAGACCAUACUGUGAUCCUUAUCAACUGCACGGUUUUAGCCAUUUCACUUUGAAAAUGCAUGGCUUCUAUUAGAUCCCAAAAAACGAAUGAGGCUCUAGACGACAAUAUGAAACGUGUCCUUCACAGUGGCGCGUUUUGGUGGCCUUGGUGCCACUUUAACAUUUCUCUUUCUUUCCCUUUGUUGUGAUGAGGAUGGGCCUGAUGAGUUCAACUCUAUCACUCCGUGGCUCCCCAGGUCUCAUUAUAGGCUGGCCAGUAGGGAACAUUCUAAUAAACAGAUGAAAAUGGCACUCAUACCGCCUGCGCAUGCACACGGACACACACAACCUUGAGGAAAAAUUUCACCAGGGACGAGGACGAAAUAAAAAACCUUUCACUUGAUUGUUUGAGGCAAAAAUAAAUCACAACCAUACACACACACACACACACACACUCGAAAAGAAAAAUAGCGGUACAAUAUCAACCGCCGUGAGAGCACGAGCGAACCUGCGGUUACAGAUGACGGCGCGCCUUGUUAAAAGAAAAAAAUGCGCACAAACACAUGCACAUUCAGACAACUCGCUCGAAUAAUGAAACGCAUUCACCUUCCUCUGUUGCGCUGUGCACAAUAAGUCUUGCUUCAUUAAAGCCAAAUCUCAUCCACUAUCAGUUUACAACCACAGAAGUCGUUUGAACCACCGGGGAAAUACAAUCCAUUCCGUUUCGGGGUUAUCUUAAUAUAUGAGCUCGUCUCCGCCACAUUGGUCUGCGGUUAUGAGCCGAGCAAACACCCACAGCACCGCAAUAUUGCACCGGCAUAUUCACGGGACGGAUUGAUGCACACAAAGCAAUUAGCAGCUCAUUCAUUCAUAUGAUAUAUACAUAUAUAUAUAUAUCUUCCAUUUCCUCUGCCAUGGUAAUUUGCAGGGUUUAUUCAGAGUUGAGGGAAGCUGGUCGCACAAUUUAAGUUUUUUUUUUUUUUUAAGUUCUAAAAAACAGAAACUUCCCCAAAGAUGAGGACUCUCUCAUCAGA
ensembl:lncRNA